rnacentral:tRNA from 1 species
UGCACGGUAUGCAAGCGGACAACGCGACCUGGCUGUAAACCAGAUGGCAUGACCUUCGUGGGUUCGAAUCCCACCCGUGCAAC